GAUGAACGCUGGCGGCGUGCCUAAUACAUGCAAGUCGAGCGAACAGAUGAGGAGCUUGCUCCUCUGACGUUAGCGGCGGACGGGUGAGUAACACGUGGAUAACCUACCUAUAAGACUGGGAUAACUUCGGGAAACCGGAGCUAAUACCGGAUAAUAUAUUGAACCGCAUGGUUCAAUAGUGAAAGACGGUUUUGCUGUCACUUAUAAAUGGAUCCGCGCCGCAUUAGCUAGUUGGUAAGGUAACGGCUUACCAAGGCAACGAUGCGUAGCCGACCUGAGAGGGUGAUCGGCCACACUGGAACUGAGACACGGUCCAGACUCCUACGGGAGGCAGCAGUAGGGAAUCUUCCGCAAUGGGCGAAAGCCUGACGGAGCAACGCCGCGUGAGUGAUGAAGGUCUUCGGAUCGUAAAACUCUGUUAUUAGGGAAGAACAAAUGUGUAAGUAACUAUGCACGUCUUGACGGUACCUAAUCAGAAAGCCACGGCUAACUACGUG
rnacentral:rRNA from 1 species